rnacentral:rRNA from 1 species
AACGAACGCUGGCGGCAGGCCUAACACAUGCAAGUCGAGCGGACCUUUCCGGGUCAGCGGCGGACGGGGGGGUGACGCCGGGGAAUAUGCACUUCUCUACGGAAUAGUUCUGGGAAACUUGGGGUAAUACCGUAUAGGCUCUUAGGGGGUAAGAUGUAUGGGGGCAGGAUUAGGCUGCGUUGGAUUAGGUAGUUGGUGGGGUACUGGCAUGCCAAGCCGACGAUCCAUGGCUGGUGGGAGAGGAUGAUCAGCCAGACUGGGACUGCGACACGGCCCAGUCUCCUACGGGAGGCAGCAGUGGGGAGUCUUAGGCGAGGAGGGCAACUCUGAUCAAGCCAUGCCGGGUGAGUGGUGAAGGCCUUAGGGUUGUAAUGCCCUCUCAGCUGAGAAGAUAAUGACGGUACCAGCAGAAGAAGCCCCGGCUAACUCCGUG